UGUAAGCGUAUACCAAAGUUGUUGCAGUUAAAACGCUCGUAGUCGGAAUUUGGCAGUUCCGGAUGUGUGCACGUCGUGUGCGCACUUCGCGGGGAUUGCUUUUGUGGUCUUGCGUAGGAUGAGGCACUUUUAUUAGUGAACGUCCUCACGCAACCACCUUUUACUGUGAGAAAAUCAGAGUGCUCAAAGCAGGCAUUUGCCGUGAAUGUAUUAGCAUGGAAUAAUAGAAUAGGACUUGGUUCUAUUUUGUUGGUUUGUUGGGACUGAGUAAUGAUUAAGAGGGACAGUUGGGGGCAUUUGUAUUUCGGUGCUAGAGGUGAAAUUCUUAGAUUACCGAAAGACAAACUGCUGCGAAAGCGUCUGCCAAGGAUGUUUUCAUUGA
rnacentral:rRNA from 1 species